rfam:Stegodyphus mimosarum contig13353, whole genome shotgun sequence.
GCGUUCGUGGUAUAGUAGUCAGCGCGCUCGGUGCGUAACCUAGAGGUCCGUGGUUCGAUUCCCGGCGAAGGCG